GACGAACGCUGGCGGCGUGCCUAAUACAUGCAAGUCGAGCGGACGAAUCGAAAGCUUGCUUUUGAUUCGUUAGCGGCGGACGGGUGAGUAACACGUGGGCAACCUGCCCUGUAGACGGGGAUAACACCGAGAAAUCGGUGCUAAUACCGGAUAACACGAAAUGUCGCAUGACGUUUCGUUGAAAGACGGCGCAAGCUGUCGCUACAGGAUGGGCCCGCGGCGCAUUAGCUAGUUGGUGAGGUAACGGCUCACCAAGGCGACGAUGCGUAGCCGACCUGAGAGGGUGAUCGGCCACACUGGGACUGAGACACGGCCCAGACUCCUACGGGAGGCAGCAGUAAGGAAUCUUCCGCAAUGGACGAAAGUCUGACGGAGCAACGCCGCGUGAGCGAAGAAGGCCUUCGGGUCGUAAAGCUCUGUUGUUAGGGAAGAACAAGUAACGCAGUAACUGGCGUUACCGUGACGGUACCUAACGAGAAAGCCGCGGCUAACUACGUG
rnacentral:rRNA from 1 species